AACACUAAAUAUGUUAUGGUUAUAACAUAAAAUAUGUACAUUUUUUUAAGUACUGUUUUGUAGAGUGGACAGUGCUCACCCUUGUUCAACCCCGUGUUUGUCAGUAUAUGUAUUCACAACCCUUCAACACUUGAUAAUCAAAUUGAAACGACGAAAACAAAGACAACGUUUAACUUACAACACAUUUUUCUUAGUUACUUAUUGGACUUAUCAUACUGAAGAAGCUACUGCGUGGCGAAAUAAUUACUUCUAUUCUAGUAGCUUCUUCCAGUCAAUUUUCAAAAUUAUAAAAUGAGCUUAUUAAAAUCAAAACGACAAACUUACGCUUUUUAUAUUUGAUGGUUUUUACUUUUAACGAGAAAACGACGAUGUCAAACAAGAUAAAAGUAUAUAAUUUCACAAUUUGCAGGGAGCGAAUGGAUAAGAAAAAAGUAAAUCCGCCGUUCUACUUACACGCGAAAAAAGUUGCGAAUUGUUGGAGAUGUUUGAAUGAUGGGCCCGCAGGAUUCCACUACACAUGGAAUUCGAACAUGCUGUGCGCAAUUCGUGAAGCAUUUCUUCAGCUACUUGAAAAAGGUCUGGCGAACACGUGGGAAAAUCAAAUGAAAAUGGCAGAACGCCUGUGGAUUGGAUUAGAAAAGAUGGGCUUAAAAUUGUGGGUACCGAAUAAAGAGAAACGAUUG